UGGCUUGUGAAAACGGGAACAGGGGAAAAGCCAGGAAGUGUCAGCGUUGUGGAGUUGUGGUUUUGCCCACCCCUAAUAGCCGCAGUGAUAUCCUCCAUCACCGCGCAUCCUUCCUCCGCUCAGGAUUCCCUUGGUGGUCACAGGGAAGAUCCUGUCCCCCAAGAAACACGGCUGCUGCGGAGGGAGAGGCAGAUAAACUACAGAUCCCAGCAUUCUCCGAUAGGCAGCACCUGCGGCAGUCCCUGCACGCCGUGGGGGAGGUGGGGGUGAGGAUGAGGAUGGAGGGCAGGGAGGAGAUGCAGGGCGCCGUGGGGCUACGCUGCACCUGGGACAUCCCGCCACCCGCUGGCUCCCAGGCCAAGUGGGUGAGGCUUAAUGUGGGGGGCACCGUCUUCCUCACCACCAGGCAGACUCUUUGUCGGGAGCAGAAAUCUUUCCUCUGUCGCUUGUGCCAGGGCGAGGAGCUGCAAUCGGACCGGGAUGAGACUGGUGCAUACCUAAUAGACCGGGACCCCACUUACUUUGGACCCAUCCUGAAUUUCCUCCGUCAUGGGAAGCUGGUCCUGGAUAAAGAUAUGGCUGAAGAGGGGAUCUUAGAAGAAGCUGAGUUCUAUAACAUUGGUCCUUUGAUCCGAAUAAUCAAGGAUCGAAUGGAGGAGAAGGACUACACAGUCACUCAGGUGCCUCCUAAGCAUGUCUACCGUGUGCUACAGUGCCAGGAAGAGGAACUCACUCAGAUGGUUUCCACUAUGUCAGAUGGAUGGCGCUUUGAACAGCUUGUGAACAUUGGCUCGUCCUAUAAUUAUGGGAAUGAGGAUCAGACAGAGUUCUUGUGUGUGGUCUCCAAAGAGUUGUACAACUCCCCCAGUGGCCUAAGCUCUGAGCCCAGCCACAAAGCCAAGAGCACAGAGGAGGACCUGGAGGAGGAAGAGCAGGAGGUGGAGGAGGAGGCAGAGGCAGAGGCAGAAGCAGAAGCAGAGGAGAAAGGUGCAGCAAAUCCUUGAGGAAAAUGAUAAAAAUAUCCCCCCCAGGCAUAGACCCGUCCACCUUUCUGACUGUCCAUCUAUUCGGGAUUGCACUAAACUCUCUUCCUGCGGACCCUCCCUUCUGCUCCCCUCCGUGUCCAUCCCAGCACUGUCAUCUACCUCCUACAUUGCCCCACUCGCCAGCCUCCAGCCUCCAGCAUCCUUCCCUCUGCUCUCUUUGUCUCCCAGGGCUCAGAGUGGUCUCUGCCCAGGGUCCUGUCUCUCUCUGCUCCUCACUUUUCCUCCUCUGCAGGUAUGUUACCUGUCUGCACUCCCAGCUCCUGCCAGCCUGAGCUCUGCAUGAGUGACUCACUUCCCUCUUGUGGCUGUUACAAGCCAGAGAUCUGAGGAUGUGAUCUCAACACUCCAGCCUUUUCAUUUCUUGUUUGUAUCUUUAUUUUUGUACUGCAGUGUAUGGCAGCCCCUUGCCCCACAGUGACGCCCUCCAGCCCCCUUCACUCUUCACAUGCAGUCAUGUUUUUUUUUACAAACUCACCUCAGAGGCCUGAGCCUCCAGCCCUGGAGGAGGGCAGAUGCUCCAUGGAGCCUCUGGGCUGCUGUAGGAGCUGGAGCCCACGGCCCCCUCCUAUGCCUGGCAGUCUGGCUUUCCUUAAUGUCACAGUGGCCCCUGGUGGGGACAUCUGCAAUCAGCCACUGCAGCCUGCGGUCCCUUCCUGAACACCCUGGAUGCAAAUGGGAACCCAAGGUGGUGGCAACUGCAGAAGGACCAGUCCUUGCCCUUUUGCUGUUGCAGGCAGUUGGUCUGGGCUUAUGGCCAGAGGGCAAAUGCAGAGCCACAGUCCUUUUCUGGGCUACCUGCAUUGCUCCUUGGUGCCUCCCUCCCUGUCCCCCAGAGCAGCCCUGUGUCAGCAGGGUGAGGAGGAGACAGGUGUGCUGCCCAGGUACCUGAUGUUGUGUCAGCCAGCACCAGGAGAUCCCUGUUUUGGGGAGCGGGGUGUUUGCUUCACUGCUGUGUCUGAAGACUCCUGAAUAAAAUUCACAGUCUGUUCCUC